rnacentral:rRNA from 1 species
AUUGAACGCUGGCGGCAGGCCUAACACAUGCAAGUCGAACGAGUGGCGGACGGGUGAGUAAUGUCUGGGAAACUGCCCGCUGGAGGGGGAUAACUACUGGAAACGGUAGCUAAUACCGCAUACCAUCGGAUGUGCCCAGAUGGGAUUAGCUAGUAGGUGGGGUAACGGGUCACCUAGGCGACGAUCCCUAGCUGGUCUGAGAGGAUGACCAGCCACACGUGAACUGAGACACGGUCCAGACUCCCAAGGGAGGCAGCAGUGGGGAAGAGUGCACAAGGGGCGCAAGCCUGAUGCAGCCAUGCCGGGGGUAUGAAGAAGGCCUUCGGGUUGUAAAGUACUUUUAGCGAGGAGGCGUUACUCGCAGAAGAAGCCCCGGCUAACUCCGUGCCAGGAGGCGCGGUAAUAC